CGGCCCAGACUCCUACGGGAGGCAGCAGUGGGGAAUAUUGCACAAUGGGCGCAAGCCUGAUGCAGCGACGCCGCGUGCGGGAUGACGGCCUUCGGGUUGUAAACCGCUUUUGACUGGGAGCAAGCCCUUCGGGGUGAGUGUACCUUUCGAAUAAGCACCGGCUAACUACGUGCCAGCAGCCGCGGUAAUACGUAGGGUGCAAGCGUUAUCCGGAAUUAUUGGGCGUAAAGGGCUCGUAGGCGGUUCGUCGCGUCCGGUGUGAAAGUCCAUCGCUUAACGGUGGAUCCGCGCCGGGUACGGGCGGGCUUGAGUGCGGUAGGGGAGACUGGAAUUCCCGGUGUAACGGUGGAAUGUGUAGAUAUCGGGAAGAACACCAAUGGCGAAGGCAGGUCUCUGGGCCGUCACUGACGCUGAGGAGCGAAAGCGUGGGGAGCGAACAGGAUUAGAUACCCUGGUAGUCCACGCCGUAAACGGUGGAUGCUGGAUGUGGGGACCAUUCCACGGUCUCCGUGUCGGAGCCAACGCGUUAAGCAUCCCGCCUGGGGAGUACGGCCGCAAGGCUAAAACUCAAAGAAAUUGACGGGGGCCCGCACAAGCGGCGGAGCAUGCGGAUUAAUUCGAUGCAACGCGAAGAACCUUACCUGGGCUUGACAUGUUCCCGACAGCCGUAGAGAUACGGUCUCCCUUCGGGGCGGGUUCACAGGUGGUGCAUGGUCGUCGUCAGCUCGUGUCGUGAGAUGUUGGGUUAAGUCCCGCAACGAGCGCAACCCUCGCCCUGUGUUGCCAGCACGUCGUGGUGGGAACUCACGGGGGACCGCCGGGGUCAACUCGGAGGAAGGUGGGGAUGACGUCAGAUCAUCAUGCCCCUUACGUCCAGGGCUUCACGCAUGCUACAAUGGCCGGUACAACGGGAUGCGACCUCGUGAGGGGGAGCGGAUCCCUUAAAACCGGUCUCAGUUCGGAUUGGAGUCUGCAACCCGACUCCAUGAAGGCGGAGUCGCUAGUAAUCGCGGAUCAGCAACGCCGCGGUGAAUGCGUUCCCGGGCCUUGUACACACCGCCCGUCAAGUCAUGAAAGUGGGUAGCACCCGAAGCCGGUGGCCCAACCUUUUGGGGGGAGCCGUCUAAGGUGAGACUCGUGAUUGGGACUAAGUCGUAACAAGGUAGCCGUACCGGAAGGUGCGGCUG
rnacentral:rRNA from 1 species